rnacentral:rRNA from 1 species
AAAGAAUGGAAAUUUAGAAAAAAACUUUUUUGAAAUUAAAAAUUGAAUUUUUUUUAAUUUGUGCAGAAACAAUUAUUUAUAUUAAAGACAAGAAGACCCUAUGAAUUUAAAGAUUAAUUUAAUUAAUAUAAUUAACUGAAUUAAUCUUGAUUGGGGCGAUCAAAAAAUAUUAAUAACUUUUUUAAAUUAAAAUGAUCUAUUAUUAAUAAAAUAAUGAAAUAAAUACUCUAGGGAUAACAGCGUAAUAAUUUUUGAUAGAUCUUAUAGACAAAAUAGUUUGCGACCUCGAUGUUGGAUUAGGAUUCUUUUUUAAUGAAGAUGU